CAUAUGUAAGCAGGGCUCAACAGCCUGCAGGUCAUUCAGCAUUUAGCAGUAAUUGUUUAGCUUAACAAGGCAUAAAACACAGUUUAUACGUUAAAGGUACCGUAGUUGCAUGAAAAGUAUCAUCAAAUGGCAGGAGCCAGUUAUGGCAGAUUAGGCAACAAUUCUGAGUGACACCCUAUCUUAUGCGCUAUAUUAUGAGUUCAACGGGUAUCAUCUCAUUAUCAUUAGCUUUGUGGAUUUUCAUUGAGAAGCAUGAAAUUAAACAGGUUAAACUAGCGGACAUAUGGCUUAGAAAAAUUCAUGUGUAUAACGAAUGGGCUGAUGAUUAGUGUGCCCAGGGGCCUCAGGUAUGUUAUCAAACUGUAAAGACAUCUUACUGUGGAAAGGCACCAGGGCACCUCUGGCUCCAUAACCACGACAGUGGGCUGUAUUAGGUAUGGUCAUUGAAGAGUGUUUCCAUUAUUUUGUUUGCCUUCAGUAUUUUCAUUUAGAAAUAGCUCUCUGCUAUAGAAAUGGUAAACAGCUCCAUCACUUGAUAGACAGGGUACAUAGCACAUAUUGCUUCUAGAUGCCUGAAGAAUG